rnacentral:rRNA from 1 species
UCGAGAAUCUUCCGCAAUGGGCGAAAGCCUGACGGAGCAAUGCCGCGUGCAGGAUGAAGGCCUUCGGGUCGUAAACUGCUGUCACCGGGGAUGAAUAAUGACAGUACCCGGGGAGGAAGUCACGGCUAACUACGUGCCAGCAGCCGCGGUAAUACGUAGGUGACGAGCGUUGUUCGGAUUUAUUGGGCGUAAAGGGUUCGUAGGAUGUUUAUUAAGAUUGGUGUGAAAUCCCAAGGCUCAACCUUGGAACUGCAUUGAUUACUGAUGAACUAGAGUAUCGUAGAGGAAAGCGGAAUUCCAGGUGUAGCGGUGGAAUGCGUAGAUAUCUGGAAGAACACCGACAGCGAAGGCAGCUUUCUGGGCGAUAACUGACUCUGAGGAACGAAAGCAUGGGGAGCAAACAGG